GACCCCGCAAGGGGAGCUUGCACAGAUGGUGCAUGGCUGUCGUCAGCUCGUGUCGUAAGAUGUUUGGUUAAGUCCAGCAACGAGCGCAACCCCUGUCGUUAGUUGCUACCAUUCAGUUGAGCACUCUAACGAGACAAACCCUUUUUAAGGGUGGGAAGGUGGGGAUGACGUCAAGUCAGUAUGGCCCUUACGGCCAGGGCUGCACACGUGCUACAAUGCCCAGUACAAUGAGAUGCGAUACCGCGAGGUGGAGCAAAUCUACAAAACUGGGCCCAGUUCAGAUUGGAGUCUGCAACUCGACUCCAUGAAGCCGGAAUCGCUAGUAAUGGCGUAUCAGCUACGACGCCGUGAAUACGUUCCCGGGCCUUGUACACACCGCCCGUCACGUCAUGAAAGCCGGUUUCUCCCGAAGUAUCUUUGCCAACCAGCAAUGGAAGCGAGGUCCUAAGGAGAGGCUGGUGAUUGGGACGAAGUCGUAACAAGGUAGCCGUAGGGGAACC
rnacentral:rRNA from 1 species